rnacentral:rRNA from 1 species
AUUGAACGCUGGCGGCAGGCCUAACACAUGCAAGUCGAGCGGGGUUUUCGGACCUAGCGGCGGACGGGUGAGUAAUGCGUAGGAAGCUGCCCGAUAGAGGGGGAUACCAGUUGGAAACGACUGUUAAUACCGCAUAAUGUCUACGGACCAAAGUGUGGGACCUUCGGGCCACAUGCUAUCGGAUGCGCCCACGUGGGAUUAGCUAGUUGGUGAGGUAAUGGCUCACCAAGGCGACGAUCUCUAGCUGGUUUGAGAGGAUGAUCAGCCACACUGGAACUGAGACACGGUCCAGACUCCUACGGGAGGCAGCAGUGGGGAAUAUUGGACAAUGGGCGCAAGCCUGAUCCAGCCAUGCCGCGUGUGUGAAGAAGGCCUUCGGGUUGUAAAGCACUUUCAGCGAGGAGGAAGGGUGGUGUGUUAAUAGCACAUCAUUUUGACGUUACUCGCAGAAGAAGCACCGGCUAACUCCGUGCCAGCCGCCGCAGUAAUAC